UACGGGAGGCAGCAGUAGGGAAUUUUCCACAAUGGGCGAAAGCCUGAUGGAGCAACGCCGCGUGAACGAAGAAGGCCUUCGGGUUGUAAAGUUCUGUUGUCAGGGACGAAACCGUACCGUUUGAACAAGGCGGUACCUUGACGGUACCUGACGAGGAAGCCACGGCUAACUACGUGCCAGCGACCGCGGUAAU
rnacentral:rRNA from 1 species